UCAUAGUGCCCCAUGCUAGAGCAAACUGUGGCUCCUAACCAUUGCCCAGCCCCUGUGCCUGUAGGCUGCUGGCACUGAAGUGUGUCACAGUGGA
rnacentral:snoRNA from 1 species